rnacentral:rRNA from 1 species
AACGAACGCUGGCGGCAGGCUUAACACAUGCAAGUCGAGCGCCCCGCAAGGGGAGCGGCAGACGGGUGAGUAACGCGUGGGAAUCUACCCAUCUCUACGGAAUAACGCAUGGAAACGUGUGCUAAUACCGUAUACGUCCUUCGGGAGAAAGAUUUAUCGGAGAUGGAUGAGCCCGCGUUGGAUUAGCUAGUUGGUGGGGUAAAGGCCUACCAAGGCGACGAUCCAUAGCUGGUCUGAGAGGAUGAUCAGCCACACUGGGACUGAGACACGGCCCAGACUCCUACGGGAGGCAGCAGUGGGGAAUAGUGGACAAUGGGCGCAAGCCUGAUCCAGCCAUGCCGCGUGAGUGAUGAAGGCCCUAGGGUUGUAAAGCUCUUUCACCGGUGAAGAUAAUAACGGUAACCGGAGAAGAAGCCCCGGCUAACUUCGUGCCAGCCGCCGCAGUAACAA